AUUGAACGCUGGCGGCAGGCUUAACACAUGCAAGUCGAGCGAGCGGCGGACGGGUGAGUAAUGUCUGGGAAACUGCCUGAUGGAGGGGGAUAACUACUGGAAACGGUAGCUAAUACCGCAUACCAUCAGAUGUGCCCAGAUGGGAUUAGCUAGUAGGUGGGGAAAUGGAUCACCUAGGCGACGCUCCCUAGCUGGUCUGAGAGGAUGACCAGCCACACUGGAACUGGGACACGGGCCUGACGCCUACGGAGGGCUGCAGUGGGGAUUAUUGCACAAUUGGCGCGAGCCGGAUGCCGCAAUGCCGCGGUCGUGAAGAAGGCCUUCGGGUUGUAAAGCACGUUCAGCGAGGAGGCGUUACUCGCAGAAGAAGCACCGGCUAACUCCGUGCCAGCAACCGCGGUAAUUC
rnacentral:rRNA from 1 species